GUACGCUGGCGGCACGCCUAACACAUGCAAGUCGAACGAAGUAGCAAUACUUAGUGGCAGACGGGUGAGUAACAUGUAGGUAUCUGCCCUUUGGCCUGGAAUAACACGAGGAAACUUGUGCUAAUACCGGAUAAGUCUUCACGGAGAAAGCUUUAUGCACCAUUGGAUGAGCCUGCACUUGAUUAGUUUGUUGGUGGGGUAAUGGCCUACCAAGACUGUGAUCAAUAGCUGAUUUGAGAGGAUGAUCAGCCACAUUGGGACUGAGACACGGCCCAAACUCCUACGGGAGGCAGCAGUGGGGAAUCUUGCACAAUGGAGGAAACUCUGAUGCAGCGAUGCCGCGUGAGUGAAGAAGGCCCUUGGGUUGUAAAGCUCUUUCGUCGGGGAAGAAAAUGACUGUACCCGAAUAAGAAGGUCCGGC
rnacentral:rRNA from 1 species